UGAUCUCAAAUCAGGUAGAUGCCCGUUCCCCUUA
rnacentral:rRNA from 1 species